rnacentral:rRNA from 1 species
AGCCCGAGGAAACUCGGAUUAAUACCGGAUAUUCUUAUUUUUUCACAUGAAGUUUUAAGGAAAGGUCAGCCGAACUAAGAUGAGCUCGCGUCCUAUCAGCUAGUUGGUGGGGUAAAGGCCUACCAAGGCUACGACGGAUAGCUGGUCUGAGAGGACGAUCAGCCACACUGGGACUGAGACACGGCCCAGACUCCUACGGGAGGCUGCAGCAGGGAAUAUUGUGCAAUGAGCGAAAGCUUGACACAGCGACACCGCGUGUGGGAUGACGGCUCUAGGAUUGUAAACCACUUUCAGGAGGGAAGAAAAUGACGGUACCUCCACAAGAAGACCCGGCCAACUAUGUGCCAGCAGCCGCGGUAAUACAUAGGGGUCAAGCGUUGUCCGGAUUUAUUGGGCGUAAAGAGCUCGUAGGCGGUUCAACAAGUCGGUCGUAAAAGUUUAGGGCUCAACCCUAAAAUGUCGAUCGAUACUGUUGUGACUAGGAUACGGUAGAGGUGAAUGGAAUUCCGAGUGUAGCGGUGAAAUGCGUAGAUAUUCGGAGGAACACCAAUUGCGAAGGCAGUUCACUGGACCGUGAUCGACGCUGAGGAGCGAAAGCUAGGGGAGCAAACAGGAUUAGAUACCCUGGUAGUCCUAGCUGUAAACGAUGGAUACUAGAUGUAGGAACUGGAUUGACGGUUUCUGUAUCGUAGCUAACGCGUUAAGUAUCCCGCCUGGGGAGUACGGUCGCAAGA